rnacentral:rRNA from 1 species
GGGGGGGGGGGGGGGGGGGGCGGGGGGAUGGAGGGCGGGGGGAGGGGUGAGGAGCGUGCUGGUGUGGGGUUGGCGGCGGAGGGGUGGGGAAGGGGGUGAUAGCCGUCCUAUAAGACUGGGGUAAAUGCGGGGAGAGGGAGCUAAUACCGGAUAAGAUAUUGAACGGCAUUGUUCAUUAUUGAAAGCCGGUUUUGGUGUAACUUAUAGGUGGAGCCGCGCCGAAGUGGCUAGUUGGUAAGGGAACGGCUUACCAAUGCAAAGAGGCGUUUCCGACCUGAGGGGGUGAUCGGCCACACUAGAACUGAGACACGGUCCAGACUCCUACGGGAGGGAGCAGUAUGGAAUCUGCCGCAAUGGGCGAAAGCCUGACGGAGCAACGCCGCGUGAGUGAUAAAGGUCUUCGGAUCGUAAAACUCUGUUAUGAGGGAAGAACAAAUGUGUAAGUAACUAUGCACGUCUUGACGGUACCUAAUCAGAAAGCCACGGCUAACUACGUG